rnacentral:pre_miRNA from 1 species
CUAGUACUCCGUCCGUCCAGAAAUACUUGUCAUCAAAAUGGAUAAAAGGAGAUGCAUCUAGACGUAUUUUAGUUUUAGAUACAUCUAUUUUUAUUCAUUUUGAUGACAAGUAUUUUUGGAUGGAGGGAGUACCUC